rnacentral:rRNA from 1 species
GUGCCCGAACAGGGCGUUGUAAUUGGAAUGAGAACAAUUUAAAUCCCUUAUCGAUUAACAAUUAGAGGGCGAGUCUGGUGCCAGCAGCCGCGGUAAUUCCAGCUCUAAUAGCGUAUAUUAAAGUUGUUGCAGUUAAAAAGCUCGUAGUUGGAUUUCGGCGUGCGCUCAGGCUGGUCGGCCGUCAAGGUCUGUACCGUUUGGGUCACGCCCCACUGUAGGAUACUCACCGCUGUCCUUAACUGGGUGGCGGUCAAAGGGGGUGUGCAUGGGGGCAACUCUGUGCAUAUCUCUGGGGUUCCUACUCUUUUACUUUGAGCAAAUUAGAGUGUUCAAAGCAGGCAAUCGAGCCUUGAAUACUUCAGCAUGGGAUAAUGGAACAGGACUGGGGUCCUGAUUUCGUUGGUUUCUGGGAUCUCAGUAAUGAUUAAUAGGGAUAGUUGGGGGCAUUAGUAUUUAAUUGUCAGAGGUGAAAUUCUCGGAUUUAUGAAAGACUAACUUCUGCGAAAGCAUUGCCAAGGAUGUUUUCAUUAAUCAAGAACGAAAGUUAGGGGAUCGAAGACGAUCAGAUACCGUCGUAGUCUUAACCAUAAACGAUGCCGACCAGCGAUUGGGAGACGUUACAUGGAUAACUCCCCCAGCAGCUUGCGAGAAAUCACAAGUCUUUGGGUUCCGGGGGGAGUAUGGUCGCAAGGCUGAAACUUAAAGGAAUUGACGGAAGGGCACCACCAGGAGUGGAGCCUGCGGCUUAAUUUGACACAACACGGGGAAACUUACCAGGUCCAGACAUAGUAAGGAUUGACAGAUUUGAGAGCUCUUUCUUGAUUCUAUGGGUGGUGGUGCAUGGCCGUUCUUAGUUGGUGGAGUGAUUUGUCUGGUUAAUUCCGUUAACGAACGAGACCUUAACCUGCUAAAUAUGUCACUGGUAGACUUCUGCCAAAACAGGUGGGUGUCUAGGGGAAAGUUUCGAUGGACUCCGACGCAUUCAUCUGUGGAUGACUACCAGGAUGUACCUCUUAGAGGGACUAUCUGUAUCAAAGCAGAUGGAAGUUUGAUGCAAUAACAGGUCUGUGAUGCCCUUAGAUGUUCUGGGCCGCACGCGCGCUACACUGACAAGUUCAACGAGUUUAACACCUUGCUCGAUAGGGCUGGGUAAUCUUUGAAAAACUUGUCGUGAUGGGGAUAGAUCAUUGUAAUUAUUGGUCUUCAACGAGGAAUUCCUAGUAAGCGUGAGUCAUCAGCUCGCGUUGAUUACGUCCCUGCCCUUUUGUACACACCGCCCGUCGCUCCUACCGAUUGAAUGAUCCGGUGAAAUGUUGGGAGCUGGGGUCUUUUGGCGGCGGGGCAACUCGUCGUCAGGGAUUCUGCAAACUUCAUUAAACCUUAUCAUUUAGA